rnacentral:tRNA from 1 species
GCCCCCGUAGUUCAACGGAUAGAACAAGUGUUUCCUAAACACUAGAUCCGGGUUCGAUUCCCAGCGAGGGUA